UCGGGUGUGGUGUACGGUGCACCGCGGGUCUACGUAAUGACCUUGGUAGUAUAGCUUUAUCCCGCAGGCCGGGGUUCGACGCCCUGCGCCCGAA